UUUGGAUGCGGAGGCUGCGAG
rnacentral:misc_RNA from 1 species